rnacentral:lncRNA from 1 species
GAGAGCAGCUUUAAAAGGUACUAAGCCUUUUACAAAUUGGUGAGUACUGGCACAUGAGACCUAGAGCAGGACCAACUUCUCACACAUAGUCAGUGGGAAAAGAAAGUGCCUUGAAAGUUCCUCCCUCACCUACACAGUAGUCGUCAUGUCGAGACCUGCCAGAGAGAGACACAUUCUCAAGUGAAUCCUGGCUUCUUGGAAGCGCUUGCCUAGACGAGACACAGUGCAUUAAAACAACUUUUGGGGGACAGGUCCUCAAAAUGAGCACACGAAGAGAUUGCUGUGAAACUUUUAAUUGGCCCUACUGCGCAGAAGCAUUCAGAUGUCACUUGAUGAUCUGUAAGGGGACUGUCAAUUUGGGAAUGUGCUAAGGAGAACACACAUUCCCUUGAUAGGCUGUCAGUGGGUGGGUGUUAAGACAGCUGACAUGUGCUUUUUUUUUUUUUUUUUUUUUUUUUUUUUGUUUUUCCUACCCUGCCCUUUUUCUACCUCAAUGGUGUUCCUACAGGAAAUGGAUAACCAUUUUAACUGUAUUUUUUUCAGCCCGUACCUUCUUGGGAAUACAAUUGUCUAACUUUUUAUUUUUGGUCUGGCUGUUGUGGUGUGCAAAACUCCGUACAUUGCUAUUUUGCCACACUGCAACACCUUACAGAUGUGGAAGAUGUGAAAUUUGUCAUCAAUUAUGACUACCCUAACUCCUCAGAGGAUUAUAUUCAUCGAAUUGGAAGAACUGCUCGCAGUACCAAAACAGGCACAGCAUACACUUUCUUUACUCCCAAUAACAUAAAGCAAGUGAGCGACCUCAUCUCUGUGCUUCGGGAAGCCAAUCAAGCAAUUAAUCCCAAGUUGCUUCAGUUGGUCGAAGACAGAGGUUCAGGUAAGAAUCUUCCAUGAGAGAUGUUACGGGAUUGUUGACAGUCACCUCUUGUCUACGUCUACGGAGUGGGAUUUAAGGACUGAGUUAGUUUUUAUUUUGAAACUAAGAAAUCUUAAGACCCAGCAUAAAUAGAGCUAUCUCACACUAUGCCAUGGGUAAGGUGAUCAAUUUCUACUUAUUUUCUUGACAGGUCGUUCCAGGGGUAGAGGAGGCAUGAAGGAUGAUCGUCGUGACAGAUACUCUGCAGGGAAAAGGGGUGGAUUUAAUACCUUUAGAGACAGGGAAAACUAUGACAGAGGCUACUCUAGUCUGCUUAAGAGAGAUUUUGGGGCUAAAACUCAGAAUGGUGUUUACAGUGCUGCAAAUUACACCAAUGGGAGCUUUGGAAGUAAUUUUGUAUCUGCUGGCAUACAGACCAGUUUUAGGACUGGUAACCCAACAGGGACUUACCAGAACGGUUAUGAUAGCACUCAGCAAUAUGGAAGUAAUGUUGCAAAUAUGCACAAUGGGAUGAACCAACAGGCAUAUGCAUAUCCUGCUACCGCAGCUGCUGCGCCUAUGAUUGGCUAUCCAAUGCCAACAGGGUAUUCUCAAUAAGACUUUAGAAGUAUAUGUAAAUGUCUGUUUUUCAUAAUUGCUCUUUAUAUUGUGUGUUAUCAGACAAGAUAGUUAUUUAAGAAACAUGGGAAAUGCAGAAAUGACUGCAGUGCAGCAGUAAUUAUGGUGCACUUUUUUCGCUAUUUAAGUUGGAUAUUUCUCUACAUUCCUGAAACAAUUUUUAGGUUUUUUUUGUACUAGAAAAUGCAGGCAGUGUUUUCACAAAAGUAACUGUACAGUGAUUUCAAAUACAAUAAAUGAAGGCAAUGCAUGGCCUUCCAAUAAAAGAUAUUUGAAGACUG